rnacentral:rRNA from 1 species
UACGAAGGGUGCAAACGUUGCUCGGAAUUAUUGGGCGUAAAGAGCGUGUAGGCGGUCCGGUAAGUCAGCUGUGAAAGUCAAGGGCUCAACCCUUGAAUGCCGGUUGAUACUGUCGGGCUAGAGUUCGGAAGAGGCGAGUGGAAUUCCCGGUGUAGCGGUGAAAUGCGCAGAUAUCGGGAGGAACACCAAUGGCGAAGGCAGCUCGCUGGGACGGUACUGACGCUGAGACGCGAAAGCGUGGGGAGCAAACAGG